rnacentral:ncRNA from 1 species
UGCANGUAUGAACCAAUUUGAACUGUGAAAGUGCGAAUGGCUCAUUAAAUCAGUUAUAGUUUGUUUGAUGGUACGUGCUACUCGGAUCACCGUAGUAAUUCUAGAGCUAAUACGUGCAACAAACCCCGACUUUUGGGAGGGAGGCAUUUAUUAGAUAAAAGGCUGACGUGGGCUCUGCUCGCUGAUCCGAUGAUUCAUGA